CAGCAGUAGGGAAUCUUCGGCAAUGGACGAAAGUCUGACCGAGCAACGCCGCGUGAGUGAAGAAGGUUUUCGGAUCGUAAAACUCUGUUGUUAGAGAAGAACAAGGACGUUAGUAACUGAACGUCCCCUGACGGUAUCUAACCAGAAAGCCACGGCUAACUACGUGCCAGCAGCCGCGGUAAUACGUAGGUGGCAAGCGUUGUCCGGAUUUAUUGGGCGUAAAGCGAGCGCAGGCGGUUUCUUAAGUCUGAUGUGAAAGCCCCCGGCUCAACCGGGGAGGGUCAUUGGAAACUGGGAGACUUGAGUGCAGAAGAGGAGAGUGGAAUUCCAUGUGUAGCGGUGAAAUGCGUAGAUAUAUGGAGGAACACCAGUGGCGAAGGCGGCUCUCUGGUCUGUAACUGACGCUCAGGUGCGAAAGCGUGGGGAGCAAACAGGAUUAGA
rnacentral:rRNA from 1 species